GACGAACGCUGGCGGCGUGCCUAAUACAUGCAAGUCGAGCGAGCUGAACCAGCAGAUUCACUUCGGUGAUGACGCUGGGAACGCGAGCGGCGGAUGGGUGAGUAACACGUGGGUAACCUGCCCUAAAGUCUGGGAUACCACUUGGAAACAGGUGCUAAUACCGGAUAACAACAAUAGCUGCAUGGCUAUUGCUUAAAAGGCGGCGAAAGCUGUCGCUAAAGGAUGGAACCGCGGUGCAUUAGCUAGUUGGUAAGGUAACGGCUUACCAAGGCGACGAUGCAUAGCCGAGUUGAGAGACUGAUCGGCCACAUUGGGACUGAGACACGGCCCAAACUCCUACGGGAGGCAGCAGUAGGGAAUCUUCCACAAUGGGCGAAAGCCUGAUGGAGCAACGCCGCGUGAGUGAAGAAGGUUUUCGGAUCGUAAAGCUCUGUUGUUGGUGAAGGAGGAUAGAGGUAGUAACUGGCCCCUAUUUGACGGUAAUCAACCAGAAAGUCACGGCUAACUACGUGCCAGCAGCCGCCGUAA
rnacentral:rRNA from 1 species